CCGCCUACGGGGGGCAGCAGUGAGGAAUAUUGGUCAAUGGGAGAGAUCUUGAACCAGCCAAGCCGCGUGAGGGAAGACGGUCCUAUGGAUUGUAAACCUCUUUUGUCGGGGAGCAAAAAGACUACGUGUAGUCCCAAGCGAGAGUACCCGAAGAAAAAGCAUCGGCUAACUCCGUGCCAGCAGCCGCGGUAAUACGGAGGAUGCGAGCGUUAUCCGGAUUUAUUGGGUUUAAAGGGUGCGUAGGCUGAAUGUCAAGUCAGCGGUAAAAAUUCCGGGCUCAACCCGGUCGUGCCGUUGAAACUGGG
rnacentral:rRNA from 1 species